UGGGUCCCACGGAUUCCACCCAAAUGUCUUUUUAAGGCUGCAGGGACUUGAACCAGCGUCAAUAGACAUUUCUUCUUCCAUUCUCUUGAUCCAGCGUCAUGUCACAUUCUCUUCUUCCAUUCUUUUCUUGCUCUGUUUCCCCUUCUCCCGAUUAAAAUGGAAAACCUUAAAUUCUCGCUCUUUCUUCUCUUUUUCACUCUCUCUUCCACCGCCAUUGCCCACGAUGCUGCGUUCAAGUCCAAGCUCGCCAAAGCCUGAGUCCCACGCCGUCGGGGUGGUCAGGGACCAGCUUCUGUCAAAAUGGCAGUGCUCCUUUGACUUGGAAACAAAGAAUAAGGAUAGCUCUGGACUAGCGGGAGGAGUGCACUAUUUGCACCGCCUAGCUCAGGAAAGCUUGGUUCACAGUUUACUGGAAGAGUGACGAGGAAAAUGGACGUAUACAUGGAAAAACAUCUCACCUGUAAUUGAUGAAAGUCUGAACCUUGACAGUAUGGAGAGCAUAUAGCUCAUUGCACUGUUCCUAUAAAAGGAGCAAUGGAAUAGGGUAAUUCAAUUGGUUUAUCUGUUUAGUGACCGACUCACAUCGAUGUUUAGAUAAACCAGUUGAACUAGUUUUAGGCAUGGAACUUGUUAAAUAAUUGAUCGAUCAUUCAAAGAAAUUUCAAACCCAUGUAGGGUAGGUGGGGCUUUUAAGGUAAUGAAAUCCUUUCUUUUGUGAGA